rnacentral:ncRNA from 1 species
GCGUGGGUCGGCCCGCUGUCCUGAUGGAUACGGCGGGCCGGGGGAAGCCGCCGUCUCAUUCCCCGCGGACGGCGGCCUGGUCCGGGAGGCGGCCAGCGUCUCCCGGACCACA